UCCUGACACAGUGAUUCUAAAUUCUAUCCACAAUCCCCAGCCACGACUACGGGGCUGCCUCUGGUUCCCUGGCCCACGUUACUGUGAAGGGCUGACUUCUCUGCGUUCCCGUGGCGACCUUACUCGUACAACCAGUGUGGUAUCUACAGGGCAGCUGAUCUCUGAAAUUUGGACAACCCUAAGGAUAGACCUAUGUGUUAUACUCCUUCGUGUUCAACAUAAAGAGGAUGCUCAUUAUCAACACAAAAAAACAACAAACCACAAAGAUGAUUCCAGUCAAGACAUCCAAAUGUUUACUCUGAGUCAUAGACCGGCUACCACAAACCGAGGGAAUGUUCUUAAAAGAAAAAGGGGACAGUCAUCCAGUGACAUUUCCAUCCUCCAGAUGGUGACUACUCGAUACCUUCUGCCUGCUUUUGGCGAAUCUCUAGUGCUUCCAGGUGAUCAUGUAUUAUUUUUCUGUGUCCCCCGAAGAUGGUACCUGAGGUCUGCUAGAGGAAGUCCCACCGAAGCCCUCCUAUCCCGGCUACGAGCAGGAGGUCCUCCACGAAUAUUUCUCUUACAGUUGGUUGGUACAUUCCUAGAGAUGAGACCCUUGUGAUGUGUUCCUCUCUGCAAGGUCUGGAGUAUGCAUUCAAAACUGAACUAAUUGCAUCCAGAAGUCUUCAGGUUGCAACAUAAAGUGAAAUUACUGAUAAAUAAACAAACCUGUACAAACCAAUGGCUUCUCCUUCGUGCUGAGAUGCAAAUGACGGAUGGUAGAACCUACACGUUGACUAUGUGCUGCUUGAGAAGAGGCACGAGAAGAGCACUGGAUACACCACGAUGGGCUGAUCAUGAGUAGAUGCGGUAAAGAAAUUGUGCAAGGGACUCUCAGCGUUGAAAACACAAUAUUUUCAGUGACAAAUUUGUCCCUCAGAUGAGCACUGG